ACCCUACGGACACGGAGCCGCGGGGGAGCCGCGGGGGAGCCGCGGGGGAAUUCUGCGCUCGCAUGGAAGCAACACUCAGCGUCCGCUUCUCCGGCGCUUUGGGAACUUAGGUGCGAAAACAAAAUGCCCCCCACCCGCCCCCGCCAAGUUGCUGGUACCAAACGCUCCGGGGCAGGGCCGCCUCACUCAUCCUUCCAGUCCCUUCUCAGGUGUCCCCGGAGCACAGAGCGGAAGACCCCCUGGAGAGCAGCGGUGCAUCUGAAGCCCCGGGCAGCAGCCAGGAGAGGCCCGAGA